rnacentral:rRNA from 1 species
GACGAACGCUGGCGGCGCGCUUAACACAUGCAAGUCGAGCGAAGCGGCGGACGGGUGAGUAACACGUGAGUAACCUGCCUUAGACAUUGGGAUAGCCUCGGGAAACCGGGAUUAAUACCAAAUGGUCUAAGAUGGACUCGCGUCCCCUUAGCUCGUUGGUGAGGUAACGGCCCACCAAGGCGACGCUGGGUAGCCGGCCUGAGAGGGUGAACGGCCACAUUGGAACUGAGAAACGGGCAAAACUCGACGGGAGGCAGCAGGGGGGAAUAUUGCACAAUGGAGGGAACUCUGAUGCAGCGACGCCGGGUGAACGAAGAAGGCUUUCGAGUCGUAAAGUUCUUUUAUAUGGGAAGCGGUACCAUAAGAAAAAGCCCCGGCUAACUACGUGCCAGCAGCCGCGGUAAUUC